rnacentral:lncRNA from 1 species
GAUAAGAAGUAUGAAUAAGAAGAGAUGAAAGAGAGUCGGGAUCUGAGGAAGAGUAAGGAAAGAGUAGAUGAGAGAAACAGAGGUGGAGGGAGAUAAAGAAGAAGUUGAGAAAGAAAAUCAAAUAAUAUUAUUCAUUGAUUCCAUCUAGGUUACAUCUGCCUCUUAUAUUAUACUAGUGAAUUACCAGCGCGAUGCUGCGGAUAUAAAAUUAUUUUUUAUAAUAAAUUAUAUAUUUUUUAAUAUUUUUAUAUAGUUUUAUAAGUCUAACUAUUAAUUAAAUAAAAAAUUAUAUAAAAAUAAUUAUGCGCAAAGUAAAUUUAUACAAUAAUUUAUUUUAUAAAAUUUAUAUGAAAAGAAUUUGAGAUAAAUCUAUCAAAAUAAUUUAAGAAAACCAAUAAAAAAAAUUGUAAAAAAAAAUAUNCAUUUCUCUCUUCUAUCAAUUUGCAUGCAAACAAUAGAUAUAAAUGGGAUCUGUAUGACUUGAUUUGUCAAAAAAAUAUGAUCACCUCUAUACGAAAUUAAUUAAAUUUGUGUGCCCUUUUUAUUUUUAAUAAUUAGAACUAGUUUGAUUCUUAAAAUUCAUCUAGUUUUUUUUUUUCCAUCACUUUUACUGAUAUAUUAUUAUGUGAAAACUGCCACAGCUGAAGCCGUACGUGUCGCAGUGUGCAAGGGACGUCACCGCAUCCUCCACCACUGCGGAAUCCACCGAACCAGCUAAGUAGAAGUGUGGUUAAUUUUGUGGCACCGAUGCCUCGUUUCGCUAGAGAGAUUAGAGCUCAUAUAUUCGAUUUUGAGAAUGUAUUCUCUGUUAUGGCGGAAACGGAAUAUCUUACACGUCUGGGACAUAGCAUCUGAUGAACUCCGACUCUGUUGUUUUUCUGUAAUAAAUUAUUCAAGUUCAAACAACCGUCAAUUAGACUUGUGAAGGUUAACAAUUGUUAAUUAGACUUGUGAAGGUUCUUAUGGUCACGUAAAGGCUUUCAGAUUAGUGAGUCCACAUUGGGUGCUAUCAAAAGCUCAUGAAUAAUACAUAUUACCAAUUUUUUAUCCUCUGAAUUCAUGCAAGUAUAUCCACCAUCAAAUAGUAAAUUCUAGACAGGCAAAAGCUAAAAGUUAGAAGCAUGCACUGUUCAUGUUCUUUUGAGAGUAUUACAGCCUCAUUAUAAGAUUAGUAUACUUAUUUAUCUUUUGCAAUUUUCUUUUAGUAGGUUGCUGGGGAAUUCUUAGUACAAAGGCUCUUCAAUGUAGAAUGCAAAUAUUUGUUUUGCCGCCUGGGCUUGAGAAUUUUCAAUCACGACAGAAUAAUCUUCUUAAAUCCAAAUGAUUUGUUCUGAUUUUCCUUCCAGUAGCUUGGUAUAUGUUCAAAGUAACGAUCACCUACGUUGGAGAUCAAAUAUAAUCAUUAUGAUCACAGCGUCAGUGAUUUUUUUUUUUUUUUUUUAACUAAGAAUUAAGUCUUUGCCACUUGCGGCAGGACCAUCGGUUAACAACUUUUAAAUUUAUCCUUUAGCCACCGUUUGGUUCGGGAUUAAGAAAAAGUAGCUAUUCCAGGGAUAGGAUUAAGUUCAGGGUUAAAAUGGUGUUAAAAUUUUUUUGUAUUUGGUUGGAGGUUGGAGUUAGUCUAGGAUAGUGAAAAAAAGUGUUUGGUUGGAGUAGGUGGGAUAAGAAGAUAAUGAUUGAUAAAGAAGAAAAAGGUAAGGACUCGGGAUGCGUGCGGGGUUAAAGUUGGGAGGGGGAGUGGGGUUAAUGAUUGAUAAAGAAGAAAAAUGUGAGGGCUCGGAAUGCGUGCGGAGUUAAAGUUGGGAGGGGGAGUGGGGUUAGUAAACCCCACUAACCCGGUUUGGGGUGGGGUUUACUAACCCCACCCCUUAAGAAUGGUGUUUGAGUAUAAAUUGGGGGUUAAGGGGUUAUUCCAUUCCUUAACCCCCAAGGCCCCAACCAAACGGUGGCUUAAAGUUUACUCUUUUUCGUCCAGUGGAAUAAUAGAAAUUAUUAGCUAUUAUUUAUUUAGAGACCCAUAUUUGUUUCCCACGUAAAAAAGGGUAUCAAGAAAUUGAUGCUCGUGUAUUUGAACUUUACAUGAGCGCAUCUCGGAGCUAAUCCCAAAAAACAGGAUUUGAUGAUUUCUAUGUUUUACAGAAAACCUGCAUGAGAGCCGCCUCUUCGCGGAUUAGACCCUCAAAAUAAANAUAUAUAUAUAUAUAUAUAUUUUUUUUUUUUUAUAUAUAUAUAUAUAUAUAUAUAUAUAUAUAUAUGUGUGUGUGUGUGUGUGUGUGUGUGUGUAUAGAAGGAGAGAGAAGAGGAGGGUUGGGGGGACACGUGUCACUCUAAGGUCCCCCAAAUCUCCUUUAAUGUAGUUCAAUUAAAUAAAUUAAAUAAAUAGAUAGAUUAAAUAGAUAGAUAUCUCGUGCAACCCUAAAAAUAAAAAAAAUGAAUUCCUAGGCUAAACUGAAAUUAAAAUUAUAGAUCCAGAAUGUGGGGCCGUGGGCCUGAUACAACAGGGACCCUCCUCGGGUACUCGAGUCCAACUAACUGUCUAACAGGUCGGAUGCUCCCGUGCCAUCAACCCGAUCCACUGAGCUGAGAAGCCUCCUUGUGGCGUCCAUCCCGCUCACGCCUCACAGGACUUGUCCGCUUCUACUCCUCCAUCGCCAACACCCAUCCCCAGCCUAGGGUUUCCGCUCGACCGCCGACUCGUCUCUCCGGCUGGUCACUCUCGGGUGCCCACCUUGCAAGUUAAGCCUUCUAAGCUCCCCUUUUUAUUUAUCACUCAACCACUCGGCUCCUCCCUAACCUACUCUCUACUGGCAGAUGCAACAUCGUCCGCCACGGCCACGGUACGGCCGCGGCGGCGGAGGUGGCGGAGGCGGAGGCGGUGGCGCUGCUCCUCCUCGCGGCGGUGGGGGAAGCUUCUUUCCUACCACCAUCAAUCCUACUCUCCAUAACCUCAAUCUCCCCUUCGUCCCCAAUCUCCAGUACCACGUAAACCCUACCAACCUCCCCCAGCACCACCUCCAAAACCCUAGUUUCCCCAUCCACGCCAAUUCCUUCAUCACCCAAAACCCUGGUCCCACGCCCAGCGCCGCCCAGCAAGCUCUGCUGGAGAGGGCCGAGGCCGCCGCGGCGAAGGCUCACGAGGAUCUCCUCUCGGCCGGAGAGACCGUGUCGGCGUGGAAGGUGUCGCAGGCGGUUCUUGCCUCACUGAAGGCCGAUUCUUGGAGCUCGCUAGGGUUUCAGCUUCAGGAUGUCCGGCGUAUUCGCGAGCUUUUUGCGAAGGAGGGAAAGGUAUCUACUUGAAGUUUCUUAAUAUCGCAAUCGAUCAUAUUGUGCUUUUGAUUCACUUUUUACAUAUGUUGAAACUUCUCAUAUUUUGAGCUUUUGGUUUCACCAACAGCAAGAAUAUGUAUUUUAAACAAAACAAAUAUCUGGUAUGCGAAAGAAGGGGAGGGUAAUGGGUGGUAUUCAUGUCGAUUUAAUUCAAUGAUGGGUCAUUAUUCGCAGAAAAGAUACUUGGGGUAAUCAAAAUAAAUCUGCCUGUUCUAACAUGUUAAUGGAAAUAAAUCUACUUGUUCUAACAUGAUAGUGGAAAUAAAAGAAGCCGGGCAGAGAAAUUAUUUUGUGCUCAAGAUUCUACAUUCUUGAUAUUAUUAAAACAAAAGAAAAUUGAUAAACUUGGCUGCUGUAAAAUGUAAUGUUUCUUUCGGUUGAUUAUCCAGCAGUGAAUGUUUUAGAUUAUUCUUUUCCUUAAUUAACAAAGAAAAAUUUAGUUUGAUCACAGAACUAGUUCCUGAAUUUUGACCCUGAUUUCAAUUGUAGUGUCAGAACUGCUCUUGUAACAAUAUGGGAAACGGACUUUGGUUAGUACAAAACAUUACUUCCUUCCAUCAGCCCGUCUUCAUUGAUUUUGCUAGGGUCAAACAUCAGGGCCAUACGAUAGGGUAGAAUACGAUUGUACAUGCAUAGCCUUUAAAGUUAGAUACAUGGGAAAGAUUCAGUGGCUACUGGAGAUUAUGUCUUUUUCCUCCUUUUCAUUUACUUCCAGGUGAAUACUUUCAUACACUGCUUUGUUGCGGCACAUCAAAUCACAUCACUAUAUGACUUGGAGGCCGAGAUAUGCAAGAAUGAGGGCAUUCAGCGGUUUGAUGAGCUCAGGUUGGGACCUCUUUCCUGCUACCCACUUGUUGUGCAUUACUUUUCAGUUAAUUCGGAGUCAGUGGAGGUGUUCAAAAUAAGUACUGAGGAAAUUAUUGGGUUUUUGCACACCUUUAUGAGCAAGUCCAAGACGAAGAUUAAUGUGGAGGAGUUUUUGGAUUUUGUUGCUAAAGAGAAGUCUGUUGCAAAAAAGGAGAAGCUUGGUGUGCGGAUUCAGAGUUUGGGGUACGUAAGUUAUCUACUAAAUGCUGUUGUAAUCUCCACUAUAACCAAAAGGAUGCCCAAAAAGGAAAGGCCUUUUCUUCUUCUUCUUCUUCUUCUUCUUGUUCUUCUUUCUUCUUCUUAUUUUUGGACCACUUUCAUCGAGGAAAUUUUUGUCAAAAAAAAAAUGUUGUGCUUCUUAAUAAUAGUUGCUUGCUUUGCCAGGGUGACACCCAUUUAAAAUUCAGUGUUGAAAUUUUGAAAAAAGUUGAUUAAAAUUCAGUGUGGAAAUUUUGAUAAAAGUUAGCAAAUUAUAGCCAUGGUAGAUGUCAAAAGCAUUUUGUAGUUAUUACUGGUAGGUUCUUUCUCUCAUUAUUUUCACCACCAUAGUUAGCAUACUUAACAUAUUCAUUACAUUAUUGUUUCUUACAUAUAUCAAUUUCUAGUUGGAGUCAUCACAUUAAGCAGUUCAUAUUCGUUAAUCGAAGUUCCUUUGCACUUUACCGUCCUUGACAUUAUUUUUGUGGUGGAAUUCACUUUUUCACUAGUGGCAAAUUUUUUUUUUUUCGCAGGUUGCAUAUUUCGUAUAUUCGCCAGGCCAAGAGAACCAAAGCCAAUGCUCUCAAGGACUCAGUGAAGCAAUAUACUUACUACAGUGGAGAUACUGAUUUGUCAGAAGAUAAGCGUUUUCAUGUGGAAAAGCAAAUUCUUGACAACAGGUUUGAUUUUAUGACUAAACGUGUCAAAUCAUUUUCUUCUACAUGGGGUGAUUUUGGUUCUAAACACAUCCGCUUUGAUUCUACGGAUGAUGAGCCUGACUACGACGACAGUAGUGAUGAUGGGGGUGAUAAUGCCACUCACUGCCAGCAUCCGAGUACCUUUUCUAACAAGGAAAGAGAUAAACGUGUAAGUAGCUGUCCUUAUCCAUCGACGACGGAAGAGAUGGUUCGGCUUGGGUUGAAAGCUGAAGCAAAUAAAAAAGCAGCUCCUGCGAAUCGUAAGUUAAUGGGGAGUAGUAUUAAAACUUCCUCUGGAAAGAGAAGGAAAAGGAAAUCUGAGGAAGAGAGGGACAACUCUGGUCGAUUAUGCAAAGUCGCCAAAAAGGAACAAGUUGAACUUGAUGAUCAGGGAAAAUUGUAUGGUUUUACUAUCACAAAGGAUAAAAUGGAGACAUUUGUAGCAACCUGGAAAGAAGCAUGCCGUGAACAUUCUGUUGCUAAGGUAUGCAUUACGAGCUUUUAAAAAAAGUGUGUUCUGGAUAUAACUGAAUUUAGAGCUCAACUCAACUCUGUGUCUCUAUCUUAUUUAUAAGAGAUGGACAAAAUUUCUUUGUUUUGUUAACUUCUCCUUAGGAUGGUCUAUGGAGCAUUUGACAAGUUUUCAGAAAUUCAUAUUAUUGUUUGUUAUAGUUGGUAUUUGCAUUUUUACCAUGCCUUUGGAUCUUAAGGUGGUCCAUUUAUUAGUUUUGAAGGUCUAACACAUCCUCUUUUCCUGUCUCUCUCUCUCUAUAUAUGUAUAUAUAUAUAUAUAAAGAGAGAGGGAGAGUAAUGCUGCUAUACUCUUUUGAGUACGGAGGCCUUCGUAUUCAUAAGUUUUUUUUUCGAUGAUAUAGUUUUCGAAUCGAUAACUCACACCUUUAAAUAUGAUUAAGAGCACUUGAAUUACCUAGAAACUGAGUUUUAUAAUUUUCAAAAUUAUAAUAGAGACCAUCAGGCGAGUAUAAAAUGACUGUCAAAAUAGAACAACCCCCUAAAAAUAGAGAACCAGGUUAUUCAAUUUAAAAUCGGAGUUAUUGAUCUCAUCUAGAUAGUGAAUAAAGUUUUUUUUUUUAAUCAAAGUUUCAACUGAUUUUGAUUAUUUUACACCGUUAAACUAGAAAACCCCCGUACCAGUUCGUUAAAAUUGUCAAUUUUGAGGCAUUUUGAUCAUAAGAUAUAUGAUGUUAAAAAAUUGUGAAAUUCGAUUUCUAGAAUGUUAUGUGGUCUAAAUUAUAUUUAACAGUAUCGAUUGUCGAUUCGGGUGCUCUAGCAUCAAAAAUAACUUAUGAGUACGAAGUCGAUCGUACUCAUAAAAGUAUAGUAGCCGAACUCUCUCGUUCUCUCUCUCACGCUCUUUCUAUAUAUAUAUAUAUAUAUAUGCACAAUUUAGGGCUUGGGGAUAUAUAUAUAUAGAGAGAGAGAGAGAGGGGGGGGGGUUACUAGAAUGCUAUUAAUAGUAUUAAAAUAGUGUUUCCUACCAAUUUUUUUACCAUUUGAUGCCUAGGGUUUAGUGAUGGUAAGUAGAAUAGUAAUAAUCCUAUGAUGAAAAAGUGGAUAGUAAACACUAUAUAUAUACUAUCAAAAGAUCAAGAGUAUAGAUCUUAUUUUAAAUAUUUUAAAGAAUUUUGUAACCAAAAUUCAAUUAAUUUGGAUUUGUUUGCACCGUUAAACAAGCAAACGUCUCAUAUCAACCAUUAAAAUUAUAAACUUUUCCACCCUUUGGUCAUUAGGCCAAUGAUGUCGAACAGAUUUAAAAUUUGGUUUCUAGAUACUUCAAGUGGUAUAGAUCAUGUUCAACGGUGCCAAUAGUCGAUUUGGAGACUUCAUAAUCGAAAACAAAUUAGUGGCAAUGGAACUCAUUUGCUACCAAUAGUAUUCUCCAUUGCUACUAAUUAUUUCCGAUGAUGGAGCCUCGAAGAUCGGCACUGUGAACAUUGUCUAGAUGAAUUGAAGUUUCAAGAAAUCAAAUUUCAUAUUUUUCUAAUGUUGUUCUUUUGUAUAAAAAUGAUUAAAUAUCUUCCAAAAGGUGAUGGUAGGAUUCUUCUACUCAAGAUCAAGAGUGUAGAUCUUGUUUUAAAUAGUUAAAAUAAUUUCUAACAAAAAUCCAACUGAUUUGGGAUUUCUUUACAUCGUUAAACGAGCAAACGCCUCGAAAAUUACAAAUUUUGUGACCAUUCAAUCAUUCGGCCAGAGAUGUUGAAUAAAUAUGAAAUUUGAUUUCUAUAUCUACCGUGUCCUUAAUAUAUGCUGGCAUUGCAGGUCCUUGAUCUGAUGCUGAAGUUCUAUACAGAAACUCCUGGAAAAAGGAAGAAAAAGUCUUUCUCGUCGUACCCUGGCAUUGGAUUGCUUAAUGUUGCUGUGAGUUGUGCUCUUUGCUACUUUAGGUUUUUUGGUUCAUGUACUUGGCAAAUUUUAUCAUUAGUUUGUAGUGAUUUUAUUUUUCCUUGAUGACAUGAAUUUUCUGGUAAUUGUUCUGUUCUGUAAGCAUUUUCAUUCGGCUGGCAAAAUAAAAUACUUUUAGGGAUCUGCGUGGGUGCGUGAGCGCUGGCGCGUGUGCAUGUGCACAUUAGUGUGUUUGUUUGCUCAUGAUUUUGACAAUAUUUACACGUUCUUUUUGUUUCAUGCAUAAAAUCCUGCAGGUUAUGGCCAUGAAAAGUGGAAUGUUGAAUAGUCUUUAUGAUGCCUUCCAAAAUUUUGGCGAAACUGGAUUAACUAAUCCAAGUUCAGCGACCUCUUCUAAGCUGAUAGAAAUCAGCCCUCCGACUAAUGAAAAUACUACCUAUGAUACUUUGGAGAGCACAGGUAAACUUGGUUACUGUAAGUGUUUUGGUUCUUCUUCCCAGUGUUUAUUGCCAAAAUCUCCUCAGCUUUCUUCUAAUGUGAGAGUAAAAGUUUCUUAAGAGAGUUAAGGACCUAAGUUUCUUAUUUCUCAUUUCUCAUGCUGUUGCAUUUCUUUGACAAAUUUUAGAUGAACUAUGUUGUUAAUUUGAGGAAGAUGUUUAAUUCGCUUAGUCUUCUGAAGUUUCAUGGGCAACUUAGUAUAUAUUUUACAAUAUCUUGCAGGUGUCACAGUUGAUGAUAUCAUCACCAAAGUUUCUGACUAUUUUGAGUGUAAUAAUUUAAUCCCAAGAGAAAAAGACUCACAUUUGGAGCACAAACUGCUGUCCUUAGAGAAGUUUCAUGAUUGCGAGAUGUGGGUGGCAAAUCAAUUUUCUAUCAAGCAAUUUAGUUCUCUUGGUUAUGGAAACUUCCUUGUGUUUUUGGAGAAGUAUGCUUCUAGACUACCAUUCUCGUUAUCUAUUUCUAUAAGUAGGAGACUUGGUAGUCCAUCUUCUUUGGAAGUCUCCAUGCUUCAGAAACAGCUUUGCGUUUUUCUCUCACAAGCUGAGACCAACUGGUUAGGCGAUGGUGUUGUUGCUAACAAUGAUAUAUUAAAGCUUUUCCAGAAGCAAUUCCCAACAUUAAGUUUCCAUCUGGUGGGAGAUGAAUGUGAGAAAUGCCUUUGCGAUUAUAUUAGAGUGCAGAAAGAAAGCGAAAAGCCAAAUAAUGUUCUUUUCUCCGUCACCUUGUUAGGGAAAAAAUGGAUAGGUAAUUCAUCAGAAUGCUAUGAUAUACCUACGUUAGAAGUUGCAGAUUUAAACUGUGAAGUCAAUGGCCAAUCUUAUUCUGGUAGAGAAGUCACCUCACAAGAAGCAAUUGACUGCUUGCUUAAGGCACCAAUGUUGUCAGAUUUAAUGUUCUGGUCACAUUGGGAUGCUGUAUAUGCUCCCUCACUUGGUUCACUCUUAGAAUGGUUGCUGAACAAAGUCCAUGUUAGAGAGUUAGCGUGUAUAGCAACAAGGGAUGGGAAGUUCAUUAAGGUUGAUUCUUCGGUCACUGUUGAUCAGUUUUUAGAAGCUUUUAUUCAGCGCUCUUCAUUCCAGGUAGCAGUCAAAUUAUUAUCCAUCUUAUACUUGUACAAUGGCACCAAGAAUGUGCCACUAUCCCUUCUUAAGUGCUAUGCCCAGCGAGCAACUGAUGUGAUAAUAAAUAGCUCAAAUGAUCCACCAGAUUUAAUAAAUGCAAAUGGGAGCUUGCGCAAGAAUUUAUCAGAAAUCGAUAAUGCUGUUAGCUCAGUGGCAAGGUUUAUACUUGAAUGUCUCAGCCACUUACCUUCAGAAUUCUUGAGUUUUGCUGCAGAGAUACUGCUUGCAGGACUUAAACCUUUUGCGAAAAAUGCUUAUUUGGCUCUACUAACUGAGAGUAGUGGUACAUACCAACGUUCCAUGCUUCAUGACAUUGGAUUAUCACUAGGAAUAACGGAAUGGAUCAACGAUUACUAUGAGUUCAGUUCAACAGCAGUUGCCGAUUUAAUCAGGAAGCAAGACGCUUCUUUGUCUUCUUCAUCUGACAUGGAGUUAAAUAAAACAUCAGUUGUUUCUAGUGUCUCAGUUCAUUCGUUUCUGACAGGUCAGAACUAUGAAUCUUCCAGUGAGGUCAUAGGAAGAAGGAGAAGGAAAACAGAUUCCUCUUUAGCUGAUGGGCACAAUGAAGCAUUUGAUGUUGGUGGAAGAAUUGUUACUAGAGCAGCUAUUGAUAUACCUAGCAUGUUGGAAGAUAAGAAUCUCGAAGAGGCGAAUAUGAUAAUCGAGUCCAUUAGACGUGAAGAAUUUGGUUUAGACCCAAAUCUUACCUAUUCUGAGAACUGCUUGCUGAAGAAGCAGCAUGCUCGCCUUGGUAGAGCACUUCAUUGUCUCUCACAGGAGCUAUAUUCUCAGGAUUCACAUCUUCUUCUUGAGCUUGUGAGCUAUAUCACCUUUCAACAACUUAUUACUGCUUAUCUCAUAACUGAAAAUUUUCCCUUUGCAUUGUAUAUUUUCUUUCGCUAGUGUGAUAUCUAUCAAUUGUGUGGAUACACAUUAUCCAUGUCCUUCUAUUGCCUAAGUGAUUAUAUUUUUUUAGGUCCAACCCAUCUCCUUGAUUUGUGAUAUAAUAUUAUUACCUUUCUGUCUAUUGUUUAGAAAGUCCUGUUUGGCUUGGAAGUAAUCUUUAUUUUGUUUGAGCUAGAAAUAUUAGGUCAUAUCUAUAUUGUUGCUCAUAUCCUGUGUAUGCUUUUUGAAUCAAUUGAUGUGGUAGGAGUACCUUGCAAAACCUAUCAUCAUUGUUUCCUCGUCGAUUUUGCUUUUCAUGUGCUUCAUCUUAAAUUCUGUGGUGUUUUACUUAAAUACUAAGUUUUGUGAAAAUAAGAUUACCGUUGACAUUUUGUGACCCUCUUCUAUUUUACAUCAGGUACAAAAUGCUGACGACAAUAUUUAUGCGGAAGAUGUGGAGCCAACAUUAGUAUUCAUUCUUCAGGAGGCUGGUAUUGUUGUCUUAAAUAAUGAACAGGGAUUCUCUGCUCAAAAUAUCAGAGCACUUUGUGACAUAGGAAACUCAACAAAGAAAGGAUCAAAUGCGGGAUACAUCGGUCACAAAGGCAUUGGAUUCAAAUCGGUCUUUCGGGUAUGCUUCAGCAAAAUUGUCCUGUCUUAUUUUAUUAAAUCCAUAAAUGACUUGUCACUUAAUCCAGCUGACGUUUGCAAUUCAGGUAGCCUAAUCAUCACAAAAUGUUUAUGUGCAAGAUAAAUUGCGAAAUUUUGCUUGCGUGUACAAGUAAUAUCCGUCCUUACAUUGAUGUCAAAUAUAACAAUCUUUUAAAUUAUACAGUUAGUAUGCAAUUAUAUAUUUUAGAUGGGAAAGCUAGAACUUAUAAAAGAAUAUUGUGAUCUAGUUAAUUGUGCAAUGAUCUAGGUUAACACUGUUAUUGGUGUAUAUAUGUACAGUUUGUCAGUUGCUUGCGACAUACACUCGCUGGACACCAUUUUUUUUUUUUCGCUCUCUGGGUAUUCACCUUUCUAAGUUAGUGAAAUUCUCUGAUUGACAUUAAUCAUCUGCAGGUGACCGACGCUCCAGAGAUUCAUUCUAGGGGCUUUCAUAUCAAGUUUGAUAUAACUGAAGGUCAAAUUGGUUUUGUUUUGCCAACUACAGUUUCACCUUGUGACAUCAGCUUGUUUAGUAGGUUGUUAUCUGCUGAGGAUUACCAAAGUGAUCACCCCUCUUGGAACACCUGUAUUUUACUUCCGUUCAGAGCUAAAUUUCUUGAUGGCACAGGCAUACGUUCCAUCAUAUCAAUGUUUUCUGAUCUCCAUCCUUCUUUGUUACUCUUCCUUCAUCGCCUUCAAUGUAUCAAGUUCAAGAAUUUGCUUAAUGAUUCAAUUCUGGUUAUGAGAAGAAUCUCUCUUGGUAAUGGCAUUGUUAAAGUUUCUCAUGGCAAUAAGACAAUGACUUGGUUGGUAGUAAAGAAGACGCUAGAGUGUAGUAUCAUCCGCCAUGAUGUGCAAACUACAGAAAUUGACAUGGCCUUCACUCUUCAGGAAUCUGACAAUGGUGAGUAUCGGCCUCAUCUUACUCAACAGCCGGUUUUUGCUUUUCUUCCUUUGAGAAAUUACGGUUUAAAAUUUAUUAUUCAAGGAGAUUUUGUUUUACCUUCUUCAAGAGAAGAAGUAGAUGGGGACAGUGCGUGGAACCAGUGGUUGUUAUCCCAACUCCCUUCUCUCUUUGUUGGUGCAGAAGAAUCCUUCUGUGCUCUCCCUUGUUUCCAGAAGAACCCAGGAAAAGCUAUCACAGCCUUUAUGAGCUUUGUUCCGCUUGUGGGGGAAGUUCAUGGAUUUUUCUCUCAGCUUCCUCACAUGAUAAUCUCCAAGUUACGUGCAACAAGCUGCUUGGUUUUAGAUUCUCCAGAUUUAAAAUGGGUUCAUCCAUGCAGUGUUCUCAGAGGUUGGGAUCCGCAGGCACGCAUGCUGUUAUCUGAUAGCUUACUUGAGAAACACCUCGGGAUUGGCUUUCUAAGUAAGGAUGUCAUUUUAUCUGACUCAUUAGCCAAAAACCUUGGUAUUCAGGAUUAUGGACCCAAAAUUUUAUCUGAUAUCAUGCUAUCUAUAUGUUGCAUUGAUGGUGGCAUUAAGUCAAUGGGUCUGGAUUGGCUGUCUGCUUGGCUUGUUACGCUUCACUCAACACUUUUAGCCUACUCCUCUGGGAAUAUAUCUUCAUAUACUAGUUUGGAAAGUGAUAUUAUAUCUUGUCUCAGAAAAAUUCCGUUCAUUCCACUUUCAGAUGGCUCAUAUAGCUCUGUUUCUGAUGGCCCUAUAUGGUUACCUUGUGAUGUUUUGUCUAUUGGACUUGAAGGUAAACAUAGUGUCAAAGAUUUCCCUGGAUUGUAUGCCAAACUUCGAAUUAUUAGUCCUCUCCUCCUCUCAGCAGUGGCUACAACUGAUACAUAUACAAUGGAAGAGAUUAGAGUGGACAAACUAAUGGAGAUUCUGCAUAAAGUUGGUGUGCAAAAGUUAUCUGCUCAUGAAAUUAUAAUGAGUCAGAUCUUAGUGGCCUUAUCUGAGGAUAUACGCACUAAAAAUGAGGACCAGAGUGUGAUGAUUGAAUAUUUAUCAUUCAUUAUGCUUCACUUCCAAAGUCCCUGUGCAAGUUGCCAUACUGAAAAACCAGACAUCAUCUCAGAACUUCGCAGAAAACCUACUUUGUUAACAAAUCAUGGAUACAAGUGCCCAAGUGAUGAACCAAUACACUUUGGUAAAGAAUAUGGAAAUCCCAUUAAUAUAGCAAAGCUAGUUGGUGCUUUGGAUAUUAAAUGGAUUGAACUUGAUGUUGCCUAUUUGAAGCAUCCUAGUACUCGGUCAUUACCAUUUGGUUCAACAAGGUGGAGGGAAUUCUUCCAGGAACUGGGUGUCACUGAUUUUGUUCAAGUAAUCCGUGUUGAAAAAAGGGCUUCUGAUGUCAUUUGCACUUCUGACUGUGAUCUUUCCACAUCAGCAUCUGUCGUUAAUGAUUGGGAGUCACCUGAGCUGGUUAACAUGCUGUCUCUCUUUUCUUCAAAGAAAUAUCGGAAAAUUUCUAUUUAUCUUCUUGAGGUCCUUGAUAAAUUCUGGGAUGAUUGUUAUAGUGCUUAUGCUAGAAUUUGUAUUACUUCAGUAGAUAGUGAGGACAAGGGUACCAUUGAGUCUUCACUUCUUAAGAGUAUAUGCAAAAUGAGGUGGAUAGGGUCUAGUAUGGAUGAGGAGCUUCACUAUGCGAAAGAUUUGUAUUAUGAUUGUGAAAGUGUACGCUCUCUUUUAGGAAACAUGGCACCAUAUGCUGUUCCAAAGGUUAGUCCAUUGUUACAAAAUUCUUGUGAUUGUUGACUAUUGUGAUAAUUUAUUUUUUUUUGGCACCCUGGAGAACCUGAUCCAUCAUGGUUUAAAUGGGUGUUGGAGCAGCAUUUGUGUAUGCAUCGGAAGGCCAAGAGCUUUUUAGGACUAAAUGAUCAUAUUAACCUGAUCUAUGUGUUUCUCCUUUUGCCAUGACUACUAAACUUUCUACCUAGACUUCUUAAUCUUCUUUCUUAAAGUUUCUAGCGGUUAUGAUGUGAUUUUGGAAUGAAUCCUUAUAUCUAGUCCAUUUGCCACUUGUAGCUCCUAGAUUUUAAACAAAGCUUCUAGGCUAUCUUAGAUCUCAGUUUGCUGAUCUUUAUUGUGCAGGUGAGUAGCAAAUUGUUUUUGAAUGACGUUGGACUGAAAACACAAGUAUUACCAGAUGAUGCUUUGAUAAUUCUCAAUUCUUGGAGUAUUUCUAAAGGUCCUUUUCGUGCAAGGUAUAUAUAUAUAUAUAUAUAUUUUUUUUUUUUUAAAAAAAAAAUUUAUCAAAAUUUAAGUUCUUCCUGCUGCUGAUUUGCUCUGCUGCUUAAGACUUGUAUAUCCUCCACAAUUGCACUUGCUAUUUAGCAGAGCCUCCUAAAAAUGCUAUUAGUAAGAGUUUAUGAGAUAAGAGUUUUGUGCAAUUGUAAAAUCUGUAUGAUUUAGAUCGUAGAAUUUUGGAAUUUAGUGUUGAGGAAAAUCAAAGAUUGAGAAACUUGUCUAAGUUUAGUUGUUUAACUCUGACUUAUGCUAAAUGACAUUUUUCUUGUCUGAAGUUGCUAGAUGCAUAUUUCGCUCUUUUGGAUGUUUUAUGCAUGCCUCUGGGGAGUAUCUCAUUAAUUUGGAUUUUAAUUACACUUAUUAAAUGAAGUGUUCUCUAUUUACUUGUUAAUGUUUCCAUUACAAUUUGAUUGAAUUGAGUUUCAUGUCCUUGUUUCAGUAUCUUACAGAUGUCGAACCUCUACACCUUUAUCUCAAACAGCGUUGCCGUUUCAAAGGUGAAUAUGAAUUUGCAGUUCUUAUCAAGUGCUUUCAUCUUUGUUCCAUUUCUUGGUGCUCCAUCCAAUGAAGUUGUUUCUGGUGCAUUCCUGACUCCGAAAGACGUGUACUGGCAUGAUCCUACUGGUUGUUUUGAUAUGGCAAAGAAAUAUAGCACAGUAGAAAAGACUAGUUGCUUUCUGUCUAAGAUGUUGGCAGCAGUGUAUCCAAGCCUUCAUGAAUUUUUUGUAAAAGUUUGCGUUGUGCCUGAUGUUCCUCCAUUUUGUAGCUAUGUUGAUAUAUUACAACAGUUAUCAAGUGUUGCAUUGCCUUCACAAGCAGCUUAUUCAGUAAGUUCUUUUUCAGGCCUCUAAUUUGUGCUUUGUUUAUUAUUCUUUUGUCGGGGAUAAAGUGCAGGAUAUUUUAAUAAAUCGAUGGUUUGUGUAGUGCAAACUAUGAUGUUUUCAGGGAUUUUCUAGAUUGUAACCAUUUUCUUCAUAUGGUUGGAAAAUUUCUUUUUCUGCGAGUUCAUCAUUUGUAUCUGUUAUUGUCUGUCUUUACAAAGAUUGUGGGAUUUAACAAUUUUUGUUCCUCUUUCGUUCUGUUGUAGUUUUUUCGCGUGCUAGUUCGAUGGGCUGAUGACCUAAAUUCUGGAAUAGCAAAGUCUGAAGAUAUCUUAUAUUUGAAAGAGAUACUUCAGAAAUGGGAAAGCGCAAUACUCCCAACUUUGCAGGAUAAAUGGGUCUCUCUCCACCAUUCUUUCGGUCUCAUAUGCUGGGCUGAUGAUGAGGAAUUGAAGCAGCAAUUUAAGAAUUCUCAUGGUGUGGACUUUUUACAGUUUGGUGAACUUAGUACUGAAGAUAAGGAAGUGCUUGCUGGAAAAGUCGCCAAACUAAUGGACAGUUUAGGUAUCUCAGCUCUUUCGAAGGUAUAAAUCCCUGAUUGGAAGCUAGUUUAAUCUUGUUGUACUUGAAAAUUUUCCUUGAAAAAUCUUGCUGAUUGGCUUGAGGUCUGAGAAUGCUAUAGAAUCCUGAAUUUGGGGGUAAAAAAAAAAAAAAAAAAUAGAGACAGCAGAAAUCUGACCUUUUGGAAUCAAAUAAAACAAGCCUUUCAUUGGGUAUCUUGUAUUUCUGCAGAGACUAAAGGCUGCAGUAUAAUUAAUUUGAACUAUGCAAUUUGCCAAUUAUAUAUUUGUAAAUAUGACUGCAAAUUAGUAAAUUUUGUUCCUGUAGUUUCAGUAGAACUACUAAAUGUUAUUUAUCUUCUUUGCCAUUUUGUUACCGUUUGGGUUUGAAUGUUUGAUUCACGGAAAUCACUUCUGCAGCAAUGAAGUUAAGCUGUUUACAUCUUGCUGUCUGUAGAAAUGAUAAGCAGGAGACAGGACCACCCUAUUUAUGUUUCUUUCUUCUCUUUUUUCCUCCUGCAGUUAAUUUGGAGAUUUUUGAGUCAGUUAGCCAAUGCAAUAUUUGUCUUCUUAUCUCUUAUUACUGCUUUGUCCAGGUCGUAUCAAAGGAAGCAAUAAUUUAUGGUAUGGAAGACAAUAAAUCAAAAGUUUGUCUAAUAGAUUGGGUACUUCCGUAUGCUCAGCGCUAUAUUUUUAAGUCGUAUCCAGCUGUAUACCUCAACAUGAAGCAACUUGGGUUCAACAAACUUAGCCAACUGCAGAUUGUCGUCGUUGAGAAGUUAUAUUACAAACAUACUUUGAGAGGGCAUGAGAGCUCUUCAAGGAAGCGAUUUGAAUGCAGCUGUCUUUUGCAGGUUUGUAACUGAAGUAUAUCUGAACUUACCUGGUUACUACUCUUUCUACAAUUAGUAGUUGGUUCGAUAUUCUUAAUAUACCACGAAUCUUUUUGUCAGGUGCUUAACAGAACUGCUUAUGAUCUUGAUGUGCCAUAUUAGUUGUUUUAUGCUUGCUUCUCUCUGCAGGGAAACACUUUAUACGCAACAUCGAGUUCAGAUUCACACUCCAUGUUUUUGGAGCUUUCCCGUUUCUUCCUCGAUGGGUCUUCUGAACUUUGUUUUGCAAAUUUCCUACACAUGGUUACGACCAUGGCCGAGUCUGGCGCCACCAGUGAGCAGGUGGAAUUUUUUAUUGUAAAUAGUCAGAAUAUUCCAAAGCUACCUGAUGAAGAACCUAUUUGGUCCCUUCAAACUUUGACAAGAUCUCAUGAUAGCAGAAAUCCCGGGCCAAAUCAUGUUCCUCCGGUUCCAAGUGAACAGAACACUGUGACACCUAAAAGAAGACCAGGCAUUAUUAAAAGUUGGCCACCAGCUGACUGGAAAAGUGCCCCAGGUUUUGAUAGUAUUUAUUCCUUCCCAGGGCCAACACCAAACGGUGAAGGCUCAUCAAAAGAGCUCGGCAAACCUCUAGAAACUUCUGCCCAUGUUAAAGAUUUUCCAGAUCCAGUUCAGAUUGAGGGCGAUUGGAUCAUAGAGGAAGCAUCAGUACCUACAUGCACAUCAGGUUGUGAUGCAGCUAAAGAGGAGCCUUGCUCAGUGGAAUCUGUUGAUUCUACUGGUAACCUGAUCGCUUUAAACUUGGAUCUGGGAAGUGUAUUGAGUGGCCUGGGGACUACGGGUGGCUUAGGUAAGCACUUUUCUAAGCCAGCAGAAUUUCCAGAGAGAGAUUUUCUCCAUUUGCCAACUCCGGACGAACAGUCUCGCAAAACAGGUAGAAUAGGGGAAUUUGUAGCUUACAAGUACUUUUCUGAAAAGCUGGGAUCAGAGACUGUAAAGUGGGUAAAUGGAGAGAGAGAGACCGGUUUACCUUACGAUCUGAUUAUCGGUGACGAGGAAGAGGGCAAAGAGUAUAUCGAGGUCAAAGCCACAGUAUCUGUAAAGAAAGACUGGUUUGCUAUAUCCAUGAGGGAAUGGCAGUUCGCAGUGGAGAUGGGCGAUUCGUUCAGUAUUGCUCAUGUCGUGUUGUCGGGUCCGAAGAAAGCAAGCAUAACGGUGCUGAGGAAUCCAUUCAAACUUUGCCAGCAAUAUUCGCUGCGUCUCGCCAUUCUGAUGUCGAGGCAGCUCAGAGAGUCGCAGGUGGCUGCCUAGAUUCAUUCCUCUUUUCAUGUUGGAGCUUACUUGGUCACUAAUAUUGGAAAGUGAAUGGGCUCCAUAUAUGCCAGUGAAGAUUGCAGAGUCUCCACUGUCGCAGUUCAUUAUUGGAUUUGGCCGAAUGGACCUCUUUUCUUCAUCCAGCUGCUCGCAACGCGGUCAGUGGUUGCAAAUUUUGACUUUUAAGAGAAUCGAUUCAGUCAUUCUUGGCGGUAAUAGUAAUUCGGCUGAUAGACAACAGCAGCAGCGUUCUACAAGUCGGUGAAGGCAUAUAUUCCUAACAUUAAAGAUGGCGUAAACUACAACAGUUUGCUCUCUUAUUAUAGUAAAAACUAAAAGUGAGUAGCAUCUUCUAACUUUUCUUUUUUGUUAGCUUAUUCGUGUGAUUUUACUAAAUUAAGAUAGUUAUUAUCAAUGUGUAUCUUAUAUUUAAUUUGUAAUCUGCUUAAAACUCCUUUUUCUGUAUGGGCAGUUCAUUGAGAAUCGUAAAGGAGGAGGCAUGGCUAGCAGAUUUUUCACAACGUCAUGUGGUUAACCCCUGAUAUUUUAUUGGCUAAUAUGACCUAAACCAAUGUGACAUUCAUCUCAUGAUGCUGAUCAUCACGCUUGGCCCUCGUGUGGAUAUACAGAUAUUUUAUUCGAGCUUUUUUCAAAUUUAUGCAAGAAAUAUGUAGGAUGUGAUUGAAGCAUGAUUAAAAUUUUAAAGUAAAUAUACAACUCAGUUUUAAGUUAUGUUUUUAAGAGAUGAGCUUACACACAAAACAACAAAGUAGCAUAUGAGCACCACUUUACAAGCCCUAUUUACCAAAAACCAAAUGCCUUACUUUAAGGCAUGUCACACACAGCUCUGUUGUAGGAGAUCCUCCUUAAUCUUGAUGUUUCUCCACUUAUCUUUAAGAUCGCCAGGCACACGAGUUUUGUGAAAAACACCACAACCAUAAUACUCCAAAAUUGCCCUCCACGGAAUAGUCCCACCGUCGUUUGAAACAAAUCUUUGUAUCCCCUCCUGCAGUAAUAAGAUAUAACUCCCCGUUGUGAUUUUUAAUGCUAUACAUCCUUCACUAAAGAGUAUGCCCGCUAACUUUUAGCAAAGGCCUUGUUCGGUAUCAUAACUUUCUAUGUGACUAGUUAGCGACUCGCCGCCACACUCUAUCACAUAAAAUUUGUAUUUGAAAAAAAAAAAAAAAAAUUAAAGAAAAAUGGCCGUGGGUGCCAAAUAUAAACAUGGAAUUUGUCUCUGAAAAACAAAAAAAUAGCAACAAAUACCAAACAAGACCUAUCUUUGACCCUGCCGGAGGGGGAGAAAACAAAAGACAGAAAGAAAAAGAAGACAGGCAAUUCAAAAGACACGGCAUUACAAGCAGCAACACAAGAAGCAUAAUUUUCAAACAUAGACAAAACAAUCUACAACUCUAGGCACCAUUUGGUCAAAUACUAAUAUAGUGAAAAACAGCUAAUCCAUGACAUAAACAUUUAGAUCUAUUAGCUAAAAACGAUGAGGUCAAAAGCAGUGCAUAAUUUUAGAACUAGAUCUAUUACGAGGAAAACAUAUUAUGAUCGACAAGAAUGCAUACUUUAAGAGCAGCUUCUUCCUCCAUAGUCCAAAGUAGUUUGGUACGCCUUCCAGGGGGCAUCAGUGGAUUUGAACUGCGAAAAUUCAUAGCCCACACAAUCACAAAAAAGGUAAAAGGAAAAGAAGACUUGAUACUUACUAGUUACUAUCUAUUAUAUGUUAUAUAUCAAAUCCAAAGGUGGCAGGAAGUUAUACACAGCUAGUGAAGUAUGAGUAAUAAUAGGAAAUGCCUAACAGGAAGAAGCAUGCAUAAGACAACGGAGAAAAAGGUCAUAAGAUUAUUCUUCAAUUAUUGGAAACGAACAGUUUCAGUAUUAGAUUGCUCAGAGAGAAAAGGACCUUGAACUUAUCAAAAAGAAAUUGAAGUAACUGGCUUAACAGUUUCAAAAACAGAGGGUUACUGCUAUCACUUUGGAAGAGCACUAGAAUAUGGUCACAAUUUUGCCACUUCAAGUGCCUUAAAAGUUUAAAGGUUGGAAGGAAUAGACUUCAAAUUUUUUGUUCUGGUACAAUUACUUGCCAGGGAGAAAACGAGGUGUAAGAAAUUUUUGAGAUUUAUACCACAUAAAAGGAUGGCCACUCUCCCCUUCAUGCUUAUCUACAUAUAGGCUCCACAUAUAUAAUAGCAAAGCAAAAAAAAAAAAAAAAUUUCUUUUUUUUCUUUUUUUUCUUUUGAGAGAGAAAUUGUAAUCUGGGAGAUAAAGAUUCCCAUCAGGGAAGCGAAUCCAUGUGGGCCAAAAUCUGUUUCCCCCCAACUCAUUGAAAUGCAGGGAUAAUGAGAAUGUAUCCAUGAUACUUUUCAAAAUCAUACCCAUCUAAUAAUGCAGUAAAAGAAAACAUAUGUUUAUCAACUUAUUACAACAAGAGAAUAAGCCCAACAUUGUCCCCUAUGGUCGUCGAUCCCCCGAGACAUGCAGGCUGUUAAAAACUAGAAAAAAAAAUGCUUCCAACAAGCCAAUUAUUUAAUUAGUUCAUGGACAGUUAACUACUUUACUAAAUUAGGUAUGGUCUUUCCUCUGCAGCUACUGAUGCUAGAAGAACCAUGUUAGAAGCGAUCUACAUAAUGCAUAGACAAUAAUAAUCAACAGAGCUAAAACAAAUCCAGCCAUAUAGAUACUUACUACCGUUUGGCUUGAUAUGCAUGUUUUCUUCUUUUUCCCGUAGAAGAUUUGAAUCUCUUUUGGUCGACAAUUUUAGUGCUUGCAUCUUGUGCUCUUUUACACCUUUCUGUUUUACCACCCCAGCUGAUCAAGUUCCCUAUGAGAUGACCUACCCUCCUCGCAAGGUAAACUGCUAUUGUCAACUGCUGUACGGUGCUCUGUGGGUUGAAAAUCCUCCCCUUGUUCAUUCGCAGAGGCAGCGUGAGACAACUUACGCUGCUCGCAAGGUAAAUUGCUAUUGUCAACUGCUGCAUGGGACUCUGUGGGUUGAAGGUCCUCCACUUGUUCAUUCACAGAAGCAGAAUGAGAUGCAUUUUAGCCUCCUCACAAGGAAAAAUAUUGCCAUUGCCAACUGGUGUAUGGUGCUCUGUGGGUUGAAGGUCCUUCGCUUGUUCAUUCAUAGAGGUAGUGUCAGCACCGUCAACAGUAGUUGUAGCCUUAUCCACAAUCUGUCCAUCAUUUUCUUUCUCCACUUUGGUAGAAUCAUCACAUCCCCCAACACUCACCUCCUUCUCCACUUCGGUGUUGCAGGGAGAGAUCAUCUAACCAAUAAUUGACAUUUUCAACAACUCUGCUUGAAGUGACCAAGCCAAAAGGGGUGUGAAGUUUAUGGGAAAAUUUUCAAAUUCCACCCCUAUAGUUUCGUAAUUUCUCAUUGGUACCAUAUGAUUAAAGUGUAUUUAUUUAAUAUCCCGUGGGUUUUUUUUUUAUUAUCCAUUUUACUAGUUUUUUUCGUUAAAUCAGUGAUAAAAUUGAAACUAAAAGAUACUAAAAUAAAUAUUCGAUAAAUCUAGGUGGGGUAUUUGAAGUUUUUUGUAUAUGAUUUAAUAAAAUGUUAGCCGAGGAGCUGACGAAAAAUUAAGAAAAAAUAAAAACAGAGUACUAAAUUAAUAUACUUAAAACCAUUGAGUACUAAAAUAAAAAAUUGCGAAACCACAAGGGUGGUAUCUGAAGUUUGCCUUAUAUUAUAUUAUUUGAAACCUUAAAAAUGUGUUUAAUAUACUCUUUGGUGCACCAAAUCUCCUUAUUGAUUUUUAAAAAUUACUUCACAUAAUAUCUCUAACCCUAAAAUUUAUUUAUAGAAUUUAAAGUUUAGAAGAGUAUUUUGAAAAUAGAGGGGUAAUUUUAAAAAUUUUGAACAGUAGAGAGUUUUUUUUUUUCUCUUUAAGCUUUAUCUGUUUCCUUUUAUAUAAUCUAUUUAGUUAUUUAUUUUUUACCACCAAUAUAUUAAUUGAGAAUUUAAAAAAGACAUCCCCUUAUUUUAAGAGUUGUGAGGUCCACAUUAUUCUUUUAAGAAUUAAUUGCAUAUUAGAUUUCAACAUUUUCACUAUUUUUUAUUUGGUCCUAAUUCCUAAAUUUUGUAUAUUUUUUUAUUAUCAUCAGAGUAGAAAAAAUAAUGUGGGCCCAUAACCUUUUCACUAUUUUUUCUUGGGCUUUUUUUGCAAAUAGCCCCCUAACAAAUUUUAUUUGCAAAAAUAGUCCCGUCCAAAAAUUAUUUGCAAAAAUGGCCCUGCCCCUGCCACGCCAGCGCAAUGUCAGUGCCACGCGGACAGGGAGGGUCCAAAUGUUUAAGUUGAACACGGUGAACCAUUCACCAUGUUCAAUACAAGAUUUUUGUAUUGGACACGGUGAAUGGUUCGCCGUGUCCAAUACAAAUACCUCAAAAAUGACUAAGUUGGAUGUAUUUGUAUUAGACACGGUGAACCAUUCACCGUAUCCAAUUAUUUGUAUUGGACACUGUGAAUGGUUCACCGUGUCCAAUACAAAUAUUUUGAUUUUAGCUAUUUUGUAUUGGACACGGUGAAUCAUUCACCGUGUCCAAUACAAAAAUUUUGUAUUGAACACGGUGAAUGGUUCACCGUGUUCAANAGCUAUUUUGUAUUGGACACGGUGAAUCAUUCACCGUGUCCAAUACAAAAAUUUUGUAUUGAACACGGUGAAUGGUUCACCGUGUUCAACUUAACCAUUUGGCCCAGCCCCGCCCGCGUGGCGCUGAUGUGGCGCUUGCGUGGCGGGACCAGAGCCAUUUUUGCAAAUAAAUUUUUGACGGGACCAAUUUAAAAAAAAAAUUGUAAGGGGGCUAUUUACAAAAAAAGCUCUUUUUUCUUAUAUAUUGUGUAAAAUUCUGGUCUAUAGACCGGGUCCACGAGACAGUUUCUCAUCACGUAGAGUAUUGCACAACACGAGUCCGCAUAGAAGACUCGAAUGAGGAACAUCCACAAAAUGCUACAAUUGGGAAUUUUUUUUUUCAUUUUAAUCCUUUAGAAAUUUAUACUUGAUAAAUAAUUUUGUAAAAAAUUUAUUUAUUGAAAUAACCUUAUUUUAUCCAACUGAAUAAAAAUAAUUAAAAAUCUGUACAUUUACCGUCUUUAAUGAAAUUUAGGAGACGUCUUUUUCUUUUCUAUUAGAGACGAUAAAUAAUUCACCGCUGUUAUAAAAAGUAGGCCAAUUUGCAUAAAAAAUUCACUUAUUUUGGGCUUUUGUAAAACCGGGCCACCCUUUUCGUUUUUGCAGAUUCGGUCCACUUUUUCAGCAAACUGACCAAAAUACCCUUUUUACUUUUUCUCUCUCCUCUUCGUUUCUCUCGUUCUUUUUUUUUCUCGCCGGCAGAGCGGAGGCGGAAACAGUCCGUCUCGCCUCUCACCCUCAUUCUCUAGCCCUCGCCCUCGCCCUUGCCCUCGUCCACGUACCCCCACCUUCCUCGCCUCCAACCCCGCCAAGGCCGCGCCACGACUUUUUUUUUUUUUUUGCUUUUUUCUUUUCUUUUCUUCUCCGACUCUUCUCCACCGUCUCCGACGACGAUGCCUCUCUCCUCCUUCUCGUCCUUCCCCGCCCUUCUCAUCUCUCCCUUUCCCUCAUUCUCUGCCGCCUCCGACGACGAUGCAUCUUCGCCGGCGCCGACGUCGACACCGUGGAGGUCACUGCGGCGCUACAGGCUCGGAGCGGGGGUCCUUAGCGGUGUCGUCGCCGGCACCGUGGCUGUUGGCAGAGAAGGUGACAAAAAAAAAUUAUAGAAAAAACAGAAAAAAAAAAAAAGAUAAAAAAUUAUAUAAAAAGAAGGAUGAACAUCAAAUUGUAUCGUUAACUGCAAAAAAAAUUAUAAGUUGCACUAUUUAAGAUGUAAACUGCAGCUUUAAGAUGAAAACUACACUCUUUAAACGAAAAUUACACUCUUUGAGAAAUAUUUACACUGUUUCUCUUCUUAUUACACUCUUUCAGAUGUAAACUGCAUCCAUUAAGAUGAAAGUUACACUCUUUAAACAAAAGUUGCACUGUUUCUCCUCUUGUUGCACCAUUUCUCCUCUUGUUACACUAUUUUUUAUCUUAAACUGCACCCUUUUAAGAGAUAUUUAUACUGUUUCUCCUCUUGUUGCACUGUUUCUUCUCUUGUUGCACCAUUUCUGUGUAAAUAAGAGGAGAAAUAGUGCAACAACAGGAGAAACAAUGCAACAAGAAGAGAAACAGUAUAAAUAUCACUUAAAAGGAUGCAGUUUAAGAUAAAAAAUAGUAUAAUUUUCGUUCAAAGAGUAUAAUUUUUAUCUUAAAGCAGCAGUUUACAUCUUAAAUAGUGCAACUUAUAAUUUUUUUUGUAAUUAACGAUGUAAUUUCAUCUUCAUCCUUCGUUUUAUAUAAUUUUUUAUCUUUAUUUUUUUUUAUGUUUUUUUUAUAAUUUUUUUGUCACCUUCUCUGCCAAGAGCUACGGCGCCGGUGACGGCGCCGGUGACGACGCCGCUAAGGACCCCCAGCUCCGAGGCUGUAGCGCCGCAGUGACCUCUACAGUGUCAACGUCGGCGCCGGCGAAGAUAAAUCGUCGUCGGAGGCGGCAGAAAAUGAGGGAGAGGGAGAGAUGAGAAGGGCGAGGAAGGGCGAGAGGCGUCAUCGUCGGAGACGGUGGAGAAGAGUCGGAGAAGAAAAGAAAAGAAAAAAGCAAAAAAAAAAAAGUCGCGGCGCGGCCUUAACGGGGUCGGAGGCGAGGAAGGUGGGGGGUGCAUGGACGAGGGCAAGGGCGAGGGAGAGAGCAUGACGGUGAGAGGCGAGACGGGCCGUUUCUGCCUCCGCUCCGCCUCCACUCUACCGACGAGAAAAAAAAAAAGAACGAGAGAAACGAAGAAGAGAGAGAAAGAGGAAAGAGAAAAAAUAAUAAGGGUAUUUUGAUCAGUUUGCUGAAAAAGCGGACCGAAUCUGCAAAAAUGAAAAAGGUGACCCGAUUUUAUAAAAGCCCAAAAUAAGUGGAUUUUUUAUACAAAUUGGCCUAAAAAGUAAAUAAUUACCUUUUUUUUAUUUUCAAAUAUAAUCUUAACAAUCAUAUAAAGUUUUCAACAAAUCAUAUAAUAUUUACAACUUAAAAUAUCUUAACAAUCUAUCUAUAUAAUAAUUUUAACUAUAAAUAAAAUUUUAAUAAUCUUCGUACAAUCUUAACAACCCUUAAAAUUAUUCACCGCGACCGUGAACGAUUUACCGUAUUUCUCAAGUUAGUUGACCAAACAAAAUUUUGAAAGGAUUAUUCGGUAAAUUAGAAAUUUUAAUAGAAUUAGCGUGCAAAAAGUCCGGUACGACUGAAAGGAUUAUUCGGUAAAUUAGAAAUUUUAAUAGAAUUACUGUGCAAAAAGUCCGGUACGAUUAGUUAAUCAAAUUUAAUUUUAUGAGGUUUGGGUUCUCCGGUUAGCUUCCUAAGCUAGAGUUUUCUAGGGUUUGUCGCCCCAGGGUUUCUCGCCCCGCUCUUCGAUCCAAAACACCCAAAUCGAUCGAUUUCCUCGCCCACACCGGCGGUGAUCUCGCCCCCGAGGUGGAGAAACCGAUCCAAAACACCCAAAUCGAUCGAUUUCCUCGUCCACUCCGGCGGGGAUCUCGCCCCCGAGGUAUGAACUCUGGAUCUCUUCCUCUCCUUUGAUUAGUCGCUAUAUAAGAGUAGUGGAGGUUGUUUCACUCUGAUUCUUUCCAAUGUAUGUAGAUCCCCUUUGAUUAGUCGCUAUAUAAGAGUAGUCGAGGUUGUUUCACUUUGAUUCUUUCCAAUGUACGUAGAUCCUUGAAUGCUGGUAAACGCUGUUCUUGCUUUAUAAUCUGAUUCAGAUUAAGUUUUUUUUUUUUUUUUUUUUUUUUUUUGGGGUCCUUUUUUAGCAGAUUCGUUGAUGAGUUCUGUGGUCCUGAUCCUUGGAUAAGUAACUAAAUUAGAGAAUUCGGGGUAAAAAGAAAGGUAUUUGGGUGUCAGUUUUGUUAAGAGUUAGUAAUUUAGGCAUAAUAAUGAGGAUAAUCUUUGGUAAUUUACUAGUUUGAUAAUUUUCGAUAGCUUUCACCCGAUUUUUAUAUAAUCAAAAAGCUAUUAAUUAUGUCAUUGCAAAUAAUUACUAAACGUUUUACCCGGAUUGUUCGAACGGUGAUAAUAGCAAAAGAUUUCAUUUUGAUGGACUAUGGGUGCAUACAACAUGUAGUUGUUUGGAAUUACUAGUAUUUAUUUAUUAAAUAAAAGCGUGAACUUUUCAAAAUUUUAUAUUUUUCAUCUAAAUUAAAAAAAUUAGAAUUAAUUAUCCAGAUUUAUAUUUUAAUAAUUUAAUACAACGAGCAUUAGCCACAUCAUCGAGAAAUAACAAAAUACACAUGUUGGCUUUCCGACAUCGAAAUUCAAUUUUAUAUUUAUAGAAUUUGAAUUUUAGCAUUUAAUUUUUGCAAAUUAAAUGUGAUAAUUGUGGCUAACUUUAUCUGUAAAAGUGAUUUUUGACACUGAAAAGAUUCAUCUAUGUGGCUAGCAUGUAUUUUUUUAUUGUUUCUUUAACUAAUUGGUUACUAUUAAUUACUUUAAAUUGAUUGAAUGUGAAUUUAGAUAAUCAAUUAUAAAAUUUUGAUAGUUUGAAUGCUAAAUAUAAAAAUCAGUUCAACAAAGUCGAUUACACCGGGCAAAGAUUUGAUGACAUAGAUUGGUGUUAAUAAUGUAAGGAAAUUGAUUCGAACAACAUAGAGUUAAUUUGAAAACUAAAAAUUUAGGAUCUAAGUAAAAUUAAAUCAGUAAAACAUUACGAAAUAAUGGUGUAAUUAAUCCAAAAUUUUUUAAUAAGUACUUAGCAAAUGUAGUGUGAUGGGGCAAAUGAGAGUUCCAUGCCUUUUCUAGUUAGGUGCUUCAUAACAAAUAUUGCAUGUUAGUUGAAAUGUAAGUUUCAUGGCUUUUCUAGAUUAGUUCUACCAAAAGCAAGAAAAAAAAAUCAUGUCAAAUAUUUGAUCAUUUAUACAGUUAGUAAGAUAGUCAGAGCUGAAAAAAAAAAAAAAAAUUUUUCAUCUUUUUAAACUUUGUCUUUUCGAAGUUUUUUUUUAUGUAAACAAGGUGAGAUAUUGGAGAAAAUAAAAAAUACAGCGUUGAUCCCCAUCUUAAAACUCUUAAAACUAAUGCUUUUAAGCUUUUUUUGGUUUGGUUAACUAAAAAAAAUAUACUUAGUUCUGAUUUAAAUUCUAAAAGCAGUUAAAAUUGAAUCAGUUGAAUAAACUCUGUGGCUAUAGACACGUAUAAAUGUUAGUUCUUUUAGUACUUAAUAUUUAAAAUAAAUAUGUUUUGAUUCAUAAUAUCUAAAUAAGUUCUAAAAUUUAUCAUCUACACGCUGAAUAGUUUUAAAAAAUUGAUAGCUCAAAAAAGAACAAAGAUCAUUCAUAAAAAAAAAGUAAGUGCCUAAAACUUACAAAUUUUAAUACACAAACAUUUUAGAAUCCAUAACAUAUAUUCAAUAAAUUAAAUUUAAAUUUUCAUCUUGAAUCAAUCUCUGUGAUAAAACUUUCAACGAUUACCGACCCUUUAUUUAUUCGAACUCGCUGCCGACUUUAUAAGCACGCACGGCUUGUCCCAAACCCAAAGUCUGUUAACCAACUAACGGGUUAACUCAUCGCCUACUUGUAAACGAGGGUUUUUCAGCACCUUGCAACGAGGGUGUCCUCAACCUCGAACUCCUCUUCGUCUUCUUACCCAUUUCGAUCUCGUCCUCUCCAUAAAGACGCCGACAAGUAAGUGCUUCUUCGCUCAUCUCUCUCGCACACGUCGUGGUUUUUGGUACAAAUGGUGGAUUUGAGCGGAGGCAUGUGAUUAGGACUAAGUUUAUUGCUAUUCCUGGAAAAAGUAUGAUGAUUUUGUGAUUUUUGUCGGUUUUUUGGGCGAAGAAUUUGAUGUUUCUGAAAGGGUUUUUAGGAACUCGAGCAAGUUAAAUUUAUUAGCUUGAUUAGAACACAUAAAUUGCUUUGAUAGAAUUCGUAAACGAUAUGUUCGCUUUGAUGUGAUUUAUAUUGCGAUGUUUAGGCACGAGAAAUUAGUUGUCUUUUCUUAUUUUAAUUUUAGAUUAAUUAUUUGGCUUGAAUUUUGUGUUUUUAGUUACCGCACAGCGAUGUUGUUCUGUUUGAGUUCUAAAGUACCCAUGUUAUUGUUCUAUUACAACUUAUUAAAAU